rnacentral:rRNA from 1 species
GUGGCAGCCGCCGCGGUAAAACCAGCACCUCAAGUGGUCAGGAUGAUUAUUGGGCCUAAAGCAUCCGUAGCCUGCUUUGUAAGUUUUCGGUUAAAUCCAUGUGCUCAACGCAUGGGCUGCCGAAAAUACUGCAUAGCUAGGGAGUGGGAGAGGUAGACGGUACUCAGUAGGUAGGGGUAAAAUCCUUUGAUCUAUUGAUGACCACCUGUGGCGAAGGCGGUCUACCAGAACACGUUCGACGGUGAGGGAUGAAAGCUGGGGGAGCAAACCGGAUUAGAUACCCGGGUAGUCCCAGCUGUAAACGAUGCAGACUCGAUGAUGCAUUGGCAUAAUAGCCAUUGCAGUGUCGCAGGGAAGCCGUUAAGUCUGCCGCCUGGGAAGUACGUACGCAAGUAUGAAACUUAAAGGAAUUGGCGGGGGAGCACCACAAGGGGUGAAGCCUGCGGUUCAAUUGGAGUCAACGCCAGAAAUCUUACCCGGAGAGACAGCAGAAUGAAGGUCAAGCUGAAGACUUUACCAGACAAGCUGAGAGGUGGUGCAUGGCCGUCGCCAGCUCGUGCCGUGAGAUGUCCUGUUAAGUCAGGUAACGAGCGAGAUCCCUGCCGCUAGUUGCUAUCAUUAUUCUCAGGAAUAGUGGAGCGAAUUAGUGGGACUGCCGUUGUUAAAACGGAGGAAGGAAGGGGCUACGGCAGGUCAGUAUGCCCCGAAACUCUGGGGCCACACGCGGGCUGCAAUNGUAGUGACAAUGAGUUCCAAACUCGAAAGAGAGUGGCAAUCUCUAAACGCUACCACAGUUAUGACUGAGGGCUGUAACUCGCCCUCACGAAUAUGGAAUCCCUAGUAACCGCGUGUCAUUACCGCGCGGUGAAUACGUCCCUGCUCCUUGCACACACCGCCCGUC